rnacentral:rRNA from 1 species
AGUGGAGCAAUCCAUGAGUACAGUGGCGUACGGGUGAGUAACACGUGGGUAAUCUACCUUUUAGUGAGGAAUAACCGAGGGAAACUUUGGCUAAUACCGCAUAAGCCUGAGAAGGGAAAGCAGAAAUGCGCUGAAAGAGGAGCCCGCGGCCGAUUAGCUAGUUGGUGGGGUAAGAGCCUACCAAGGCAGAGAUCGGUAGCCGGCCUGAGAGGGCACACGGCCACACUGGCACUGAAACACGGGCCAGACUCCUACGGGAGGCAGCAGUGGGGAAUCUUGCACAAUGGGGGAAACCCUGAUGCAGCGACGCCGCGUGAGCGAUGAAGCCCUUCGGGGUGUAAAGCUCUUUCGUCAGGGAAGAUAGUGACGGUACCUGGAGAAGCAGCUGCGGCUAACUACGUGCCAGCAGCCGCGGUAAUACGUAGGCAGCAAGCGUUGUUCGGAGUUACUGGGCGUAAAGGGUGUGUAGGCGGUUCUUUAAGUUUGGUGUGAAAUCUCCCGGCUUAACCGGGAGGGUGCGCCGAAUACUGAGGGACUAGAGUACGGGAGAGGAAAGUGGAAUUCCUGGUGUAGCGGUGAAAUGCGUAGAUAUCAGGAGGAACACCGGUGGUGUAGACGGCUUUCUGGACCGUAACUGACGCUGAAACACGAAAGCGUGGGUAGCAAACAGGAUUAGAUACCCUGGUAGU